UAGAUAUUUUAACUAAAAACCACACUAAAUCGAGAAAACCGAAAUCAAAUCGCUUUUUACAAAUAUUCAAACAGAAAAUGUUUUAUAUUUUCUGAAAAUUUGAAACCGGAUCAGAAUCGAAUCUAGAGCUGAAUAAGUACCAAAAUAUCUAAAAUACAUUUUGAAUACAUAAAUAUGUCAACUAUAUUAGCUUUAAAAUAAUCAAAUUGAAAUUUCUAUAUAUAAACCAAAUUUUUCCAAAAGAAAAAAAAAACAAAAUGAGCUAAAUGAAUUUCUAUAUAUAAACCAAAUUUUUCCAAAAGAAAAAAAAAACAAAAUGAUAUUUUACUUGAAUUAUCUGAUAUUUUACUUGUACUAUCCAUAAUCAUCUGAAAGUAAAAGCAAAACUGAAAUUGAAUUAGACUCAAAAUUUUCUAAGAUAUUAGUCGGUCUCGGCUUGUUACCUAAACAUGAUCAAAAAUCAAAAUAGAUGAACUGAAACUUGGUUUAGUUUAUUAAAUAUUUAUACCGUUGUCUGUACCUAGGAAAGUUGAACCAAAAACCGAAUGCCAAGACUACAUAGUGACCAUACAACUUAUGGCUGUUCAAUAUGGUAAAACCGAACCGUACCGAACCGAAC
rnacentral:lncRNA from 1 species